rnacentral:rRNA from 1 species
UACGUAGGUGGCAAGCGUUGUCCGGAUUUACUGGGCGUAAAGAGCGCGCAGGCGGUCGUGCAAGUCGCGUGUGAAAGCCCCCGGCUCAACUGGGGAGGGUCACGCGAUACUGUUCGACUCGAAGGCAGGAGAGGGAAGCAGAAUUCCCGGUGUAGUGGUGAAAUGCGUAGAUAUCAGGAGGAACACCGGUGGCGAAGGCGGGUCUCUGGGCAGUAACUGACGCUGAGGAGCGAAAGCGUGGGGAGCGAACAGG